UUGGCUUAGAAGCAGCCACCAUUGAAAGAGUGCGUAAUAGCUCACUGGUCGAGUGACCCCGCGCCGAAAAUGUACCGGGGCUAAACAUAUUACCGAAACUGUGGAUGAACCUCUUUAGAGGUUCGUGGUAGGAGAGCGUUCUAAGGGCGGUGAAGUCAGACCGGAAGGACUGGUGGAGCGCUUAGAAGUGAGAAUGCCGGUAUGAGUAGCGAAAGAAGGGUGAGAAUCCCUUCCACCGAAUAUCUAAGGUUUCCUGAGGAAGGCUCGUCCGCUCAGGGUUAGUCGGGACCUAAGCCGAGGCCGAUAGGCGUAGGCGAUGGACAACAGGUAGAGAUUCCUGUACCAGUGCUAAUUGUUUAACCGAUGGGGUGACACAGAAGGAUAGGGAAUCGCACGAAUGGAAAUGUGCGUCCAAGCAGUGAGUGUGAGAAGUAGGCAAAUCCGCUUCUCGCGAAGCAUGAGCUGUGAUGGGGAAGGAAAUUAAGUACGGAAGUUCCUGAUUUCACGCUGUCAAGAAAAGCCUCUAGGAAGAGUAGUACUGCCCGUACCGCAAACCGACACAGGUAGAUGAGGAGAGAAUCCUAAGGUGAGCGAGAGAACUCUCGUUAAGGAACUCGGCAAAAUGACCCCGUAACUUCGGGAGAAGGGGUGCUCUAUUAGGGUGCAAGCCCGAGAGAGCCGCAGUGAAUAGGCCCAGGCGACUGUUUAGCAAAAACACAGGUCUCUGCAAAACCGUAAGGUGACGUAUAGGGGCUGACGCCUGCCCGGUGCUGGAAGGUUAAGAGGAGUGCUUAGCUUCGGCGAAGGUACGAAUUGAAGCCCCAGUAAACGGCGGCCGUAACUAUAACGGUCCUAAGGUAGCGAAAUUCCUUGUCGGGUAAGUUCCGACCCGCACGAAAGGCGCAACGAUCUGGGCACUGUCUCAACGAGAGACUCGGUGAAAUUAUAGUACCUGUGAAGAUGCAGGUUACCCGCGACAGGACGGAAAGACCCCGUGGAGCUUUACUGCAACCUGAUAUGGAAUGUUUGUACCGCUUGUACAGGAUAGGUAGGAGCCGAAGAGACGUGUGCGCUAGCAUACGAGGAGGCAAUGGUGGGAUACUACCCUGGCUGUAUGACCAUUCUAACCCGCCACGCUUAGCGCGUGGGGAGACAGUGUCAGGUGGGCAGUUUGACUGGGGCGGUCGCCUCCUAAAGAGUAACGGAGGCGCCCAAAGGUUCCCUCAGAAUGGAUGGAAAUCAUUCGCAGAGUGUAAAGGCACAAGGGAGCUUGACUGCGAGACUGACAAGUCGAGCAGGGACGAAAGUCGGGCUUAGUGAUCCGGUGGUUCCGCAUGGAAGGGCCAUCGCUCAACGGAUAAAAGCUACCCCGGGGAUAACAGGCUUAUCUCCCCCAAGAGUCCACAUCGACGGGGAGGUUUGGCACCUCGAUGUCGGCUCGUCGCAUCCUGGGGCUGUAGUCGGUCCCAAGGGUUGGGCUGUUCGCCCAUUAAAGCGGCACGCGAGCUGGGUUCAGAACGUCGUGAGACAGUUCGGUCCCUAUCCGUCGCGGGCGCAGGAAAUUUGAGAGGAGCUGUCCUUAGUACGAGAGGACCGGGAUGGACACACCGCUGGUGUACCAGUUGUUCCGCCAGGAGCAUCGCUGGGUAGCUAUGUGUGGCAGGGAUAAACGCUGAAAGCAUCUAAGCGUGAAGCCCCCCUCAAGAUGAGAUUUCCCAUUUCUUCGGAAAGUAAGAUCCCUGAAAGAUGAUCAGGUAGAUAGGUUUGGAGUGGAAGUGUAGCGAUACAUGGAGCGGACAAAUACUAAUCGAUCGAGGACUUAACCAA
rnacentral:rRNA from 1 species